GGGUACACGAGUGGCGAACGGGUGAGUAACACGUGGGUGACCUGCCCUGCACUUCGGGAUAAGCCUGGGAAACUGGGUCUAAUACCGGAUAGGACCGCACCGUGAGGGUGUGGUGGAAAGUUUUUUCGGUGUGGGAUGGGCCCGCGGCCUAUCAGCUUGUUGGUGGGGUAAUGGCCUACCAAGGCGGCGACGGGUAGCCGGCCUGAGAGGGUGGACGGCCACAUUGGGACUGAGACACGGCCCAGACUCCUGCGGGAGGCAGCAGUGGGGAAUAUUGCACAAUGGGCGGAAGCCUGAUGCAGCGACGCCGCGUGGGGGAUGACGGCCUUCGGGUUGUAAACUCCUUUCACCAUCGACGAAGGGUUUCUGACGGUAGAUGGAGAAGAAGCACCGGCUAACUACGUGCCAGCAGCCGCGGUAAUACGUAGGGUGCGAGCGUUGUCCGGAAUUACUGGGCGUAAAGAGCUCGUAGGUGGUUUGUCGCGUCGUCUGUGAAAUUCCGGGGCUUAACUCCGGGCGUGCAGGCGAUACGGGCAUAACUUGAGUACUGUAGGGGAGACUGGAAUUCCUGGUGUAGCGGUGAAAUGCGCAGAUAUCAGGAGGAACACCGGUGGCGAAGGCGGGUCUCUGGGCAGUAACUGACGCUGAGGAGCGAAAGCAUGGGGAGCGAACAGGAUUAGAUACCCUGGUAGUCCAUGCCGUAAACGGUGGGCGCUGGGUGUGGGUUUCCUUCCACGGGAUCCGUGCCGUAGCUAACGCAUUAAGCGCCCCGCCUGGGGAGUACGGCCGCAAGGCUA
rnacentral:rRNA from 1 species